GACGAACGCUGGCGGCGUGCCUAACACAUGCAAGUCGAGCGAAUGAAGUUCCUUCGGGAAUGGAUUUAGCGGCGGACGGGUGAGUAACACGUGGGCAACCUGCCUCAUAGAGGGGAAUAGCCUUCCGAAAGGGAGAUUAAUACCGCAUAAGAUUGUAGUACCGCAUGAUACAGCAAUUAAAGGAGUAAUCCGCUAUGAGAUGGGCCCGCGGCGCAUUAGCUAGUUGGUGAGGUAACGGCUCACCAAGGCGACGAUGCGUAGCCGACCUGAGAGGGGGAUCGGCCACAUUGGGACUGAGACACGGCCCAGACUCCUACGGGAGGCAGCAGUGGGGAAUAUUGCACAAUGGGGGAAACCCUGAUGCAGCAACGCCGCGUGAGUGAUGACGGCCUUCGGGUUGUAAAGCUCUGUCUUCAGGGACGAUAAUGACGGUACCUGAGGAGGAAGCCACGGCUAACUACGUGCCAGCCGCCGCAGUAAUAC
rnacentral:rRNA from 1 species